rnacentral:lncRNA from 1 species
CGCAUGUUGUGAGCUAGUGUGAGUCAGACAUCACUCAUGCGGUUCAUUACUGCCGGCCAACGUACACAAAGCUGACUGUGACUCCCGCACAAUCAAGUCAAAGAAGGGCUUUUCCCACUCUGCUGCUGAAUAUUCUCAAAAUACUGCCAGUGACAGGUACUCAUGUAGCAUUAUUCACCAGAUGUGAACAAAGAACAAUGUGUGGUGCACUGUCUGACUGUUUCUGUCCACACGCACGCUAUAAUAAGUCUGUCUGAUCAUUUGUAAAAAGAGGUCAAAUAAGCACCGUUUAGGUCUAAACACGAUUUAUUAGUUUCAUAGUAAGAUAAUCUUUAAAUAUUCUUUAUUUUGAAUUCAAAUGUUACUAAAACUAAGAAGAGAGAUGUGUAGAUUUGUUGGUCAAGAUGCUAAAUAUAUCCUUCGUAACAGCAUUAGCUAGUUUAAAAGCAAUUAUUUGUUUUCGUCACGUGUGCAGACGUUGAGCUUUAGUGUUUUUACCAACUAUGGCACUUAAUUGUUGUGUUUUGUGUUUGUGUUUCUUUUAUCACGUCCUUCUGGUGCUCGGCUUCAGAAUGUUCGUGUUUCCAUAUAGUUACUGUAGACAUUUCCCGUCAAUAUGAAAGCAGGGCUAAAGGUUUACAAAACAGAUGUUCGCUCAUGCGAGUGGAUUGCUGUAAAUGUCUGUAAAUGUUUACAUUCACUGUGUUGCAGCAGAUGUACUAUAAGAAACGCAUACCCCCCACCCCCCACCCCCCCCUUUUGGGUCGUUUGUGUAGAUCUCAGAGAGACUGUGAACUAGCCAGUGCUAUUUCUGGCCCUGAAUAACUCCACUGCACUGGUCUUGUGGUUUAAAUCUACAAUUUGACUCUGGUGGAAGUGUUUAGCGUUCAUUUUGAAGGGCUAGGCUGCUAUUGGACUAAACAUCUGCUGAUUUCACUGGAAUAUGUCAUUUGUUGGCCACAAAUUCCAAACGUGUGAUAAAGGUCAAUUGUGGAUAUAUAUUUGGUCUGUUAUAGACAUUUCUGUUUUCCAUUAAACAACUUGUACCAUUAUAAAACCUUAACCUGAAAUAUGCAAAUAAUCUUGUCUUCUUUUCAUCCAAUUUUUAAGGCAUUCAAGUAAUCUCUCGUUUCUCUUUUCCUGUUCAUUUGCAGCUUGUUUAGCCCACCUAUUCAUUUCUGCUGAUAUCACAGUAUAUAUAAAAACAUGAUGCUGCUUUUAAGUCACAUUAUUCUUCCAGUUGGAAACCUGUACCACCUUUGACUGUCAUUUCAUAAAGUCUCCUCUGUUUUGUCUGUUCUCUCU